CCGCCCGUCGCUACUACCGAUUGAAUGGCUCAGUGAGGCGUUCGGACUGGCUCGGAGAGGUUGGCAACGACCACUCCGAGCCGGAAAGUUCGUCAAACUCGGUCAUUUAGAGGAAGUAAAAGUCGUAACAAGGUUUCCGUAGGUGAACCUGCGGAAGGAUCAUUACCUAGAGUUGUAGGCUUUGCCUGCUAUCUCUUACCCAUGUCUUUUGAGUACCUUCGUUUCCUCGGCGGGUCCGCCCGCCGAUUGGACAAUUUAAACCAUUUGCAGUUGCAAUCAGCGUCUGAAAAAACUUAAUAGUUACAACUUUCAACAACGGAUCUCUUGGUUCUGGCAUCGAUGAAGAACGCAGCGAAAUGCGAUAAGUAGUGUGAAUUGCAGAAUUCAGUGAAUCAUCGAAUCUUUGAACGCACAUUGCGCCCCUUGGUAUUCCAUGGGGCAUGCCUGUUCGAGCGUCAUUUGUACCUUCAAGCUCUGCUUGGUGUUGGGUGUUUGUCUCGCCUCUGCGUGUAGACUCGCCUCAAAACAAUUGGCAGCCGGCGUAUUGAUUUCGGAGCGCAGUACAUCUCGCGCUUUGCACUCAGAACGACGACGUCCAAAAGUACAUUUUUACACUCUUGACCUCGGAUCAGGUAGGGAUACCCG
rnacentral:rRNA from 1 species